CCUACGUGAGGCUGCAGUGGGGAAUAUUGGACAAUGGGCGAAAGCCUGAUCCAGCCAUGCCGCGUGUGUGAAGAAGGCCUUCGGGUUGUAAAGCACUUUCAGUGGGGAAGAAAGCCUUGGGGCUAAUACCCUCGAGGAAGGACAUCACCCACAGAAGAAGCACCGGCUAACUCCGUGCCAGCAGCCGCGGUAAUACGGAGGGUGCGAGCGUUAAUCGGAAUUACUGGGCGUAAAGCGCGCGUAGGCGGUCUGAUAAGCCGGUUGUGAAAGCCCCGGGCUCAACCUGGGAACGGCAUCCGGAACUGUCAGGCUAGAGUGCAGGAGAGGAAGGUAGAAUUCCCGGUGUAGCAGUGAAAUGCGUAGAGAUCGGGAGGAAUACCAGUGGCGAAGGCGGCCUUCUGGACUGACACUGACGCUGAGGUGCGAAAGCGUGGGUAGCAAACAGGAUUAGAUACCCGAGUAGUC
rnacentral:rRNA from 1 species